ensembl:lncRNA
GUUAGAUCUGAUCUGAUCAUCAUCAGUCUGUCUGGAAUGACAUGAAGAAACUGAAGAAACUGGGACAGACUCAAUCCAGAAGAACUGGGGCAACGUCUCCAAGAUGAUUCAAGAAAACUACCUGCAAAGCUACAGUACUGUUAAAAGUUUUGCCCUCGGUGCACUUGAGCAGAGUUUCUCAGGAGCUUUGCAGAAUUUUUAGUUCAGCUAACCUGCAUGUCUUGGGACACAGAGCAAAGCCACGCUGACACACAGGGAGAACAUUCUGUCGGGACUCUUGAACCCAGCUGCUUAAACAUUAAUUGCGAAGCCAAAAUGAUACAGACUCAGACAUGCAGGAAGUGCUGGGGGUUGUGGAUAUGAAAAAUUUGCCAUAAACAACUUUCACAAACUCUAAAAACAUUUACACAUGUGUUAACCAUUAUCCAGUAUUUUUUGUUGUUUACUUGUUUGAUUUAUGGCUGUUUAACAAUAAUGCAAGACUGUUAGAAAAAAAACAUAAAAUAAAAUUAGUACUGCCACAGCUCUGACUUCCAUGCAUCAGUGGUGGAACACAUGAAUCUCACUCCUGGAAAAGCUGUUGUUUGUGGACCAAGAAAAUGAGAGUAAACAUUUUUUUUUAAGACUCUAAAAAUAGUUACAUAUGUAUUUGCUGUGCUCCUGUACUUUUGUUAUUUUCUUGUUUGAUAAAUUGCUGCU